rnacentral:rRNA from 1 species
CCUACGGGAGGCAGCAGUAAGGAAUAUUGGUCAAUGGGCGCAAGCCUGAACCAGCCAUGCCGCGUGCAGGAUGACGGCCCUCUGGGUUGUAAACUGCUUUUAUACGGGAAGAACAGCAUCUACGUGUAGGUGUUUGACGGUACUGUAAGAAUAAGGACCGGCUAACUUCGUGCCAGCAGCCGCGGUAAUACGAAGGGUCCAAGCGUUAUCCGGAUUUAUUGGGUUUAAAGGGUGCGUAGGCGGCUUUUUAAGUCAGUGGUGAAAGCCUGAUGCUCAACAUCAGAACUGCCAUUGAUACUGAAGAGCUUGAGUACAGUUGAGGUUGGCGGAAUGUGUCAUGUAGCGGUGAAAUGCUUAGAUAUGACACAGAACACCGAUUGCGAAGGCAGCUAGCUAAGCUGUUACUGACGCUGAUGCACGAAAGCGUGGGGAGCAAACAGGAUUAGAUACCCUGGUAGUCCACGCCCUAAACGUUGAUAACUCGUUGUUAGCGAUAUACUGUUAGCGACCAAGCGAAAGCAUUAAGUUAUCCACCUGGGAAGUACGGUCGCAAGAUUGAAACUCAAAGAUAGUAGACGGAGAGNGCGAGCGACGACGACGGAGGAGGGAG